UGCAGUCGAGCGAACAGAUAAGGAGCUUGCUCCUUUGACGUUAGCGGCGGACGGGUGAGUAACACGUGGGUAACCUACCUAUAAGACUGGGAUAACUUCGGGAAACCGGAGCUAAUACCGGAUAAUAUUUCGAACCGCAUGGUUCGAUAGUGAAAGAUGGUUUUGCUAUCACUUAUAGAUGGACCCGCGCCGUAUUAGCUAGUUGGUAAGGUAACGGCUUACCAAGGCGACGAUACGUAGCCGACCUGAGAGGGUGAUCGGCCACACUGGAACUGAGACACGGUCCAGACUCCUACGGGAGGCAGCAGUAGGGAAUCUUCCGCAAUGGGCGAAAGCCUGACGGAGCAACGCCGCGUGAGUGAUGAAGGUCUUCGGAUCGUAAAACUCUGUUAUUAGGGAAGAACAUACGUGUAAGUAACUGUGCACGUCUUGACGGUACCUAAUCAGAAAGCCACGGCUAACUACGUGCCAGCAGCCGCGGUAAUACGUAGGUGGCAAGCGUUAUCCGGAAUUAUUGGGCGUAAAGCGCGCGUAGGCGGUUUUUUAAGUCUGAUGUGAAAGCCCACGGCUCAACCGUGGAGGGUCAUUGGAAACUGGAAAACUUGAGUGCAGAAGAGGAAAGUGGAAUUCCAUGUGUAGCGGUGAAAUGCGCAGAGAUAUGGAGGAACACCAGUGGCGAAGGCGACUUUCUGGUCUGUAACUGACGCUGAUGUGCGAAAGCGUGGGGAUCAAACAGGAUUAGAUACCCUGGUAGUCCACGCCGUAAACGAUGAGUGCUAAGUGUUAGGGGGUUUCCGCCCCUUAGUGCUGCAGCUAACGCAUUAAGCACUCCGCCUGGGGAGUACGACCGCAAGGUUGAAACUCAAAGGAAUUGACGGGGACCCGCACAAGCGGUGGAGCAUGUGGUUUAAUUCGAAGCAACGCGAAGAACCUUACCAAAUCUUGACAUCCUUUGACAACUCUAGAGAUAGAGCUUUCCCCUUCGGGGGACAAAGUGACAGGUGGUGCAUGGUUGUCGUCAGCUCGUGUCGUGAGAUGUUGGGUUAAGUCCCGCAACGAGCGCAACCCUUAAGCUUAGUUGCCAUCAUUAAGUUGGGCACUCUAAGUUGACUGCCGGUGACAAACCGGAGGAAGGUGGGGAUGACGUCAAAUCAUCAUGCCCCUUAUGAUUUGGGCUACACACGUGCUACAAUGGACAAUACAAAGGGCAGCGAAACCGCGAGGUCAAGCUAAUCCCAUAAAGUUGUUCUCAGUUCGGAUUGUAGUCUGCAACUCGACUACAUGAAGCUGGAAUCGCUAGUAAUCGUAGAUCAGCAUGCUACGGUGAAUACGUUCCCGGGUCUUGUACACACCGCCCGUCACACCACGAGAGUUUGUAACACCCGAAGCCGGUGGAGUAACCAU
rnacentral:rRNA from 1 species